CCCACUGAAGGGCCCACCCCAGCGCCCAGACGCCACCUCCCCACAGCCCCAGCUCUAUCUCCCGACCCCCAUCCUAUUCCCAGCAGGCAUUCAGGCAACCCUAGGGGCGGCUGCAGGGCGCUGGCGUGGGCUGUGUGGCACGACGGCUGACGGUGAGGGCGGCGAGCCGGCGAGGGCAGGCCCUGGGGCAGGCGACCACAACCAGGUGGAGCCGCGGAGCCCGGAGCCCGGAGGGGUCCCACCGUCACGGGGACACGGGUGACGAGCAAGGCCGCAAAGGAUGCUCGGCCUUGGCUCUGCUUGGCAGACAGUGGCCAAGCAUAGACGGCCGGUGGCCCAGUGACUAGGGAGGUAGGGAGUGGCGCAGGCAAGGGGCAACCAGGCAAGCCGGCAUUGGCAAGGCCAACCGAGCCCUUAACCUUAAAAGAGAGCCUUAUACCGGCUUGGCCCAGCAUCGCAGCUAUCUCGCGGUCUGUGGGAGAGGCAGUGCGGACGGUGUUGGCACGUGGAUGAGAAGGUGAUGCAGAGGCGGCAUGGUGUCCGUGUGGCGGAUUGCAACGGGUGUGCAGAUUAAGUCACGCGGACGAGGAGGCGCGGCCACACCGCGCCGCUCAUGGGGGCGUGUCUGCCGGCUGCAUUGAGCGCAGAGGAGGCAUAGCGCCCUGCUGCGGUGGGCGUAGGGGCCGUGUCGAGUAGGCACGUUGUGGCUGCACGGGGCAUGGUGCCGUCCCGUACAGGUUUCACGACAGUAACGACUCUCGAAGAUACCGCUCACACUUCUCCUCGAUGCAUGCCACAAGGAAGAGCUGGUGAGAUUCAGUCCCGUACAGGUUUCACGACAGUAACGACUCUCGAAGAUACCGCUCACACUUCUCCUCGGUGCAUGCCACAAGGAAGAGCUCGUGAGAUUCAGCAGCUCAAUAUCACAACACAGUUCACCAGAUGGAAAGAGAGAGGAGUUCACUAUGUUUCUGGACGUCUCCGGAUCUUCUUACAGAGGAGAAGACAGCCCACUGCAGACCGUUUCUGCUAUAAAUCUACCCACUAAUUAGUGGUAGUAACUGCCCAAAUAACUCAAAUCAAUAUUGCCUAUUUAAUUUGGGAUUAUGGCAUUGAUUGCGUACUAAUAGUGUCUAAUGAUUGUUGUCAUAAGAUUAACAUGCAUAUGGCACCAACUUAAAUCACAAGUCACGUGGUUCAUCACGCGAAAACAUAUGCGUAUAUAUGUGCACGUGUGUUGUGUAAACCAGCUUUAUUCUUUCUUUUGUUGUAUGUUCAACCACAGGGAAGAGCUCUCCUAUUUAAUUUGACUUGCACCAACUCAAACUUCCAGUAUGGGAUUUGUGGAUACCACGCACUCUUGCUUUGGAAUUUCUGGAAUGGAUGUCUUCAUGGGCAUAUUUUGCAGCAA